CGCCACAGGAGCACCGAGGCGAUCGGCUGGUGGCUCGUCGCCGCCGUCUCUCUCUCGGUGGCCGGAUCCUCCCUCGCGGCGGCGCUGGCGCGUGCUUGGCUCCUGACCAGCGUACUGGUGGCAAAGGGAAGCAGCGAUCGGUCUCUAUAUGCGUGUGGAUUCGCCCGGGUGGAAUGGAGUGCAUAGGUUAAGCAGCAAUGGCAAUAUAGCAUAUUUGCGAGUAACGUACUACUUGCCGACAAUCUGGGCAAAUAGACGAGCGAAAACAUCAUGUUAUGAGCAACUUCGGUGCAUCUAUGUUUAUAUUGAAAUUUCAGGUGAAUACUUAAGAGAAAUAACAUGCAACAGUUGUGUAAGGGAAUAAUAGAAGCAUGAGAUGUCUCAAUCUUAUAGCAGAAAUGAUCUUCAGGUAAUGAAUUAUUUACUCCUUUCUUUAUAUAGAG